CCUACGGGAGGCAGCAGUGGGGAAUAUUGCGCAAUGGGCGAAAGCCUGACGCAGCGACGCCGCGUGGGGGAUGACGGCCUUCGGGUUGUAAACCUCUUUCAGCAGGGACGAAUCCGUAAGGGGACGGUACCCGCAGAAGAAGCACCGGCCAGCUACGUGCCCCCAGCCGCGGCAAUAGAUACGGUGCAAGCGUUGUCCGGAAUUAUUGGGCGUAAAGAGCUCGUAGGCGGUUCGUCUCGUCGGCUGUAAAAUCCCGGAACUCAACUCCGGGUCUGCAAACUAUACAGGCGGACUUGAGUUCGGGAGGAGAGACUGGAAUUCCUGGUGUAGCGGUGAAAUGAGCAGAUAUCAAGAGGAACACCGGUGGCGAAUGCGGGUCUCUGGGCCGAUACUGACGCUGAGGAGCGAAAGCGAGGGGAGCGAACAAGAUUAGAUACCCUGGUAGUCCACACCGUAAACGUUGGGCGCUAGGUGUGGGGGCCAUUCCACGGUCUCCGAGCCGCAGCUAACGCAUUACCGGCCCCGCCUGGGGAGUACGGCCGUCAGGCUAAAACUCAAAGGAAUUGUCGGAAUCA
rnacentral:rRNA from 1 species